AGAGUUUGAUCCUGGCUCAGAUUGAACGCUGGCGGCAUGCUUACACAUGCAAGUCGAACGGCAGCACGGGGGCAACCUGGUGGCGAGUGGCGAACGGGUGAGUAAUAUAUCGGAACGUACCCGGAAAUGGGGGAUAACGUAGCGAAAGUUACGCUAAUACCGCAUAUGCCCUAAGAGGGAAAGCGGGGGAUUCGCAAGAACCUCGCGUUUCGGAGCGGCCGAUAUCGGAUUAGCUAGUAGGUGAGGUAAAGGCUCACCUAGGCGACGAUCCGUAGCUGGUCUGAGAGGACGACCAGCCACACUGGAACUGAGACACGGUCCAGACUCCUACGGGAGGCAGCAGUGGGGAAUUUUGGACAAUGGGCGCAGGCCUGAUCCAGCCAUGCCGCGUGAGUGAAGAAGGCCUUCGGGUUGUAAAGCUCUUUCAGCCGGAAAGAAAACGCACGGGUUAAUAACCUGUGUGGAUGACGGUACCGGAAGAAGAAGCACCGGCUAACUACGUG
rnacentral:rRNA from 1 species